GAAUACUUUUAAAGCAAAGGGCAAUUGCUUCUCUGAGCUUUUAAAUACUACUUAAUUACUUAAUUUUCAGGGAACAAGAGGUGGCAAAUAUUUGGGAGACUCCUCAGAUGGUUUUCCUAUCAACGUAAAUAUGACCAAAAGGAUGCUGGACUCUGGAACAUUAUCCUAGUGAUGUGGUACUCAGUCAUCAGAGGGAGAGAGAGAGAGAGAGGAAAGAGAGAGAGAGAGAGAGAGAGAGAGAGAGAGAGAGAGAGAGAGAGAGAGAGAGAGAGUCAGUCCCUGGGGGGAAAUGCCUAGUUUUAAAAGCCAAUCUUUGAUGUAUUUGAAGUUUACAAAGACGAUCUCUAAAGGUCGGCUGAUAAAAACCUAUGCAUGCAGUUUCCCAGCCUUACUGAAAAGCUUCUCUUUGUACAGACUCUACGCGAGUGCGCAUGUCCUGAAAGAGCCUAAGACAGGAGAGCUGACCCAUACCCUUGACCUUUGGAGGAUGUCAGUGUGACUCAACAGGUUACGCUGAACUCAUCAGUCAGAGCACCGCAACAGGCUUCUGAGUUCUGUCAGCACAGGCUCUCCAGUGCUAUCUCAGUGACUUGGGAUCAAGCCAAAUCUCAAAUAGUAUUCCAGUGGACAGAGACGGGGGACAAAGCAACCAAUUAAAGGCAUCUUUCCUUGGAUUUGACUAAAUAACAUCACUUCGAUAUUUGGCUUGGGAGUACAUUCAGAGAUCAAAGUGUACCGUUUUACUAGCAAAACUCCACCCAUGGUCCUAUCUGUGCAGUUGUGUGAGCACACUACUCACACCACUAUAUUCCUUCCUGUGGAGAGUGAGCAAGAUGGCUCUAUGCAUAAAGGAGCUUGCCGCCUAGCCCAAAGAUCUGAGUUUGAUCCCUGGGGCCCAGGAGGUAGAAGAAAUAACUCCCACAAUGACUUUACACACAGACUGUAUUAUAUGUGCCCAAGCACGUGCAUGCACACAAACUCACACAAAGAAAUCAAUGAAAGCAUAACAAAU